GAUAGGUAUACUUUAGGAGGGGCUUGCGCCAUAUUAGUUAGUUGGUAGGGUAAUGGCCUACCAAGACGAUGAUGUGUAGCUGGACUGAGAGGUUGAACAGCCACAUUGGGACUGAGACACGGCCCAAACUCCUACGGGAGGCAGCAGUAGGGAAUUUUCGGCAAUGGAGGAAACUCUGACCGAGCAACGCCGCGUGAACGACGAAGUACUUUGGUAUGUAAAGUUCUUUUAUCAAGGAAGAAAAGCAAGUGGUGAACCAUUUGUUUGCCGGUACUUGAUGAAUAAGCCCCGGCUAAUUAUGUGCCAGCAGCCGCGGUAAGACAUAAGGGGCAAGUGUUAUCCGGAAUUAUUGGGCGUAAAGGGUGCGUAGGCGGUCUAGUAAGUCAGUGGUGUAAUGGCAACGCUCAACGUUGUCCGGCUAUUGAAACUGCUAAACUUGAGUUAGAUAGAGGCGAGUGGAAUUCCAUGUGUAGCGGUAAAAUGCGUAAAUAUAUGGAGGAACACCAGAGGCGUAGGCGGCUCGCUGGGUCUUAACUGACGCUGAGGCACGAAAGCGUGGGGAGCAAACAGGAUUAGAUACCCUGGUAGUCCACGCCGUAAACGAUGAGUACUAAGUGUCGGGUUAAACCGGUACUGAAGUUAACACAUUAAGUACUCCGCCUGAGUAGUACGUACGCAAGUAUGAAACUUAAAGGAAUUGACGGGACUCCGCACAAGCGGUGGAUCAUGUUGUUUAAUUCGAAGAUACCCGAAAAACCUUACCAGGUCUUGACAUGUUUUUGCGAAACGGUAGUAAUAUCGUGGAGGUUAUCAGAAACACAGGUGGUGCAUGGUUGUCGUCAGCUCGUGUCGUGAGAUGUUAGGUUAAGUCCUAAAACGAGCGAAACCCUUAUCGUUAGUUGCCAGCACGUUAUGGUGGGGACUUUAACGAGACUGCCAGUGAUAAAUUGGAGGAAGGUGAGGAUCACGUCAAAUCAGCAUGCCCCUUAUGACCUGGGCUACAAACGUGAUACAAUGGCUGUUACAAAGGGUAGCUGAAACGCAAGUUCUUGGCCAAUCCCCAAAAACAGUCUCAGUCCGGAUUGAAGUCUGCAACUCGACUUCAUGAAGUUGGAAUCGCUAGUAAUCGCGAAUCAGCAUGUCGCGGUGAAUACGUUCUCGGGGUUUGUACACACCGCCCGUCAAACCACGAAAGUUGGCAAUACCCCAAAACGGUAGCCUAACUCGUUUAUCGAGAGGGCGCUGUCUAAGGUAGGGUCGAUGAUUGGGGUUAAGUCGUAACAAGGUAUCCCUACCGGAAGGUGGGGAUGGAUCACCUCCUUU
rnacentral:rRNA from 1 species